AACAGGAUUAGAUACCCUGGUAGUCCACGCUGUAAACGGUGGGUACUAGGUGUGGGGUCCAUUCCACGGGUUCCGUGCCGUAGCUAACGCUUUAAGUACCCCGCCUGGGGAGUACGGCCGCAAGGCUAAAACUCAAAGGAAUUGACGGGGCCCCGCACAAGCGGCGGAGCAUGCGGAUUAAUUCGAUGCAACGCGAAGAACCUUACCAGGGCUUGACAUCCCGGUGCUACCUCCAGAGAUGGAGGGUUCUCUUCGGAGACACCGGUGACAGGUGGUGCAUGGUUGUCGUCAGCUCGUGUCGUGAGAUGUAGGGUUAAGUCCCGCAACGAGCGCAACCCCUGGCCUUAGUUGCCAGCAUUCAGUCGGGCACUCUAAGGCGACUGCCGGUGACAAACCGGAGGAAGGUGGGGAUGACGUCAAAUCAUCAUGCCCCUUAUGCCCUGGGCUACACACGUGCUACAAUGGGCGGUACAAAGGGUUGCGAACCCGCGAGGGGGAGCUAAUCCCAAAAAGCCGCUCUCAGUUCGGAUUGCAGGCUGCAACUCGCCUGCAUGAAGCCGGAAUCGCUAGUAAUCGCGGAUCAGCAUGCCGCGGUGAAUACGUUCCCGGGCCUUGUACACACCGCCCGUCACACCACGAGAGUCUGUAACACCCGAAGUCGGUGAGGUAACCCGCAAGGGAGCCAGCCGCCGAAGGUGGGACAGAUGAUUGGGGUGAAGUCGUAACAAGGUAACC
rnacentral:rRNA from 1 species